rnacentral:rRNA from 1 species
GAGGGUGAAAAGAACCUGAAACCGUUACGGGGGAAGCGGAUUGCAUUAUUCUAGUUUUAACGUGUUCAACCUUUUAGGUGCAUUGACGUUAAAACUUAUCUGCUGUGGAUUUUUGAUAAUUGAAAAUGAAUUAUUAAAGAUUGAGGGCUCCACUUUGUGUGAGGACAGCGGAUUGACGAUGUGAUACGACCCGUCUUGAAACACGGACCAAGGAGUCUAGCGCGGGUGCGAGUCGGAAGGUGUAAAAACCUGUGGGCGAAGUGAAAGCGAGAUAAAACUCUCAGUUUGAGGCGGCAUAUUUUCGUUGAAAAUAGGUCCGACCUUGAGCAGUUGCGCUGGGACCCGAAAGAUGGUGAACUAUGCCGGAGUAGGGCAAAGCCAGAGGAAACUCUGGUGGAGGCUCGUAGCGGUGCUGACGUGCAAAUCGCUCGUCGAACUUGGGUAUAGGGGCGAAAGACUAAUCGAACCAUCUAGUAGCUGGUUUCCUCCGAAGUUUCUCUCAGGAUAGCGGGCCGACAUA